rnacentral:rRNA from 1 species
UGGGGAAUAUUGGACAAUGGGCGCAAGCCUGAUCCAGCCAUGCCGCGUGAGUGAUGAAGGCCCUAGGGUUGUAAAGCUCUUUCACCGGUGAAGAUAAUGACGGUAACCGGAGAAGAAGCCCCGGCUAACUUCGUGCCAGCAGCCGCGGUAAUACGAAGGUGGCUAGCGUUGUUCGGAAUUACUGGGCGUAAAGCGCACGUAGGCGGAUCGAUCAGUUAGGGGUGAAAUCCCGGGGCUCAACCCCGGAACUGCCUCUAAUACUGUCGAUCUGGAGUUCGAGAGAGGUGAGUGGAAUUCCGAGUGUAGAGGUGAAAUUCGUAGAUAUUCGGAGGAACACCUGUGGCGAAGGCGGCUCACUGGCUCGAUACUGACGCUGAGGUGCGAAAGCGUGGGGAGCAAACA